rnacentral:lncRNA from 1 species
UAUCUUUCCACUUUCCCCCUACUCCUGAAUGUCUAAAGAACUCUCAAUGCAUAUUAGCCAUCACCAUGGUUGAGACCCAGACCUCUGCAGAGACAAUCUUGAUCCUCUGGCUCCUGCUUCACAUUGCCCAUUCACCCUCAGCACUGAAAUCCUUACCUCAAGCGCUGGGAAUUCAGGCCAUGGAAGAUUAGGAGGCUCACAGCAGGUUGCUUUGCCCUUUUUUUCCCUAUUCCUUUUUGCAUUUUCUUCUGGGUCUCUCAAAGGCCAUCUAAUUCUUCUCUGUCAUAUGCAUAGAUUUUGGGAACUACUUUGUUUCCUAAGCAUGCCCCUGAGAGGACUCACCCCUUACCCCCAGCAGCUUAUCAAAGUAUUUUUGUAUUUCUGUCAAACUAGUGGAAUGCUGCUCCAAGAAGAAUUCUGAUUACAUUUUUCCAUGUCGUUGUUAUGGAAGCUGUAUCUAUAUAAAGUGGGAAGAUGCCAAUAAGGGUCCUUGCUCCUUGAGUGUAAGCUCCCCUAUCUUUAAUCUCUCUGUUGGUCUAGAAGUGUGGAGCAAGUUAUCCUUCAAGAUUCAGGACAAAUGUCACUUCCUCAGUGAAGCCUUCUCUCCCUCCUUGGUGUCUCCAUAAUACUCUGCUUAGACUUCACAUAUAUCAUGUGUUUUCCUACUAGAUUCUGAACUCCCCGAGAGCGGCAACCCAUAUCUUAACUCUCUUUGCAUCAACAGAGCCCAAUACAAUGCCUGGCACAGAGUAAGCCUCAAAUAUGUCUAUGAUAUAAAUUUUCUAAUAAAAUGUCUA